rfam:Kyrpidia tusciae DSM 2912, complete genome.
AUGUUCCGCGGGGGGUGCCGUGCCGCCGGGAGGAGGCGAGCACGGCUGAGAAAGGUCGGCAGCCUUAACCCUUGGAACCUGUCUGGGUCAUGCCAGCGAAGGGACGGUGGAACAGGAUCGGC